rnacentral:tRNA from 1 species
AGAAACUUAGGUUAAUCCAAAACCAGAGGCCUUCAAAGCCUCAAACAGGGUACACAUAUCCCUAGUUUCUG